rnacentral:rRNA from 1 species
AGAAUCUUUCACAAUGGGGGCAACCCUGAUGGAGCGACGCCGCGUGGGGGAUGAAUGGCUUCGGCUAGUAAACCCCUGUCAUCUGUGAACAAAUGCUUCCGGUAAACAGCCGUAAGAACUGAUAGUAGCAGAAGAGGACGGGACGGAUAACUCCGUGCCAGCAGCCGCGGUAAUACGGAGGUCCCAAGCGUUGUUCGGAUUCACUGGGCGUAAAGGGUGCGUAGGCGGUCGGGAAAGUUCGAUGUGAAAUCUCCGGGCUCAACUUGGAAAUUGCAUUGAAAACUAUCCGGCUAGAGGAUUGUAUGGGAGACUGGAAUUCUCGGUGUAGCAGUGAAAUGCGUAGAUAUCGAGAGGAACACCAGUGGCGAAGGCGAGUCUCUGGACAAUUCCUGACGCUGAGGCACGAAAGCUAGGGGAGCAAAC